GAUGAACGCUGGCGGCGUGCCUAAUACAUGCAAGUCGAGCGAACGGACGAUAAGCUUGCUUCUCUGAUGUUAGCGGCGGACGGGUGAGUAACACGUGGAUAACCUACCUAUAAGACUGGGAUAACUUCGGGAAACCGUAGCUAAUACCGGAUAAUAUUUUGAACCUCAUGGUUCAAAAGUUAAAUACGGUUUUGCUGUCACUUAUAGAUGGAUCCGCGCUGCAUUAGCUAGUUGGUAAGGUAACGGCUUACCAAGGCAACGAUGCAUAGCCGACCUGAGAGGGUGAUCGGCCACACUGGAACUGAGACACGGUCCAGACUCCUACGGGAGGCAGCAGUAGGGACUCUUCCGCAAUGGGCGAAAGCCUGACGGAGCAACGCAGCGUGAGUGAUGAAGGUCUUCGGAUCGUAAAACUCUGUUAUUAGGGAAGAACAUAUGUGUAAGUAACUAUGCACAUCUUGACGGUACCUAAUCAGAAAGCCACGGCUAACUACGUG
rnacentral:rRNA from 1 species